AUUCCAUGGUGAGGACAUUGAUGUUGCAAAUCUUUAAACCUUUCCCAUGUUUCAUAUAAUGAUUCUAGAUCAUUCUGAGUGAAAUUAGUGAUAUCAUUACGCAAUUU